rnacentral:rRNA from 1 species
CCUACGGGUGGCAGCAGUGGGGGAUAUUGCACAAUGGGGGAAACCCUGAUGCAGCGACGCCGCGUGGGCGAAGAAGUAUUUCGGUAUGUAAAGCCCUAUCAGCAGGGAAGAAGAAAUUACGGUACCUGAGUAAGAAGCACCGGCUAAAUACGUGCCAGCAGCCGCGGUAAUACGUAUGGUGCAAGCGUUAUCCGGAUUUACUGGGUGUAACGGGGGCGCAGGCGGCACGGCAAGCCUGAUGUGAAAGCCCGCGGUCCAACCGCGGGACUGCAUUGGGAACUACCGGGCUGGAGUGCCAGAGAGGUAGGCGGAAUUCCUAGUGUAGCGGUGAAAUGCGUAGAUAUUAGGAGGAACACCAGUGGCGAAGGCAGCCUACUGGACGGUGACUGACGCUGAGGCUCGAAAGCGUGGGGAGCAAACAGGAUUAGAUACCCUUGUAGUC